UACGUAGGGUGCAAGCGUUGUCCGGAAUUAUUGGGCGUAAAGAGCUCGUAGGCGGUCUGUCGCGUCUGCUGUGAAAACUCAGGGCUUAACCCUGAGCUUGCAGUGGGUACGGGCAGACUAGAGUGCGGUAGGGGGAGACUGGAAUUCCUGGUGUAGCGGUGAAAUGCGCAGAUAUCAGGAGGAACACCGGUGGCGAAGGCGGGUCUCUGGGCCGUAACUGACGCUGAGGAG
rnacentral:rRNA from 1 species